rnacentral:lncRNA from 1 species
AGUUGCAGCCAAAGCUGAGAGCCACUGCUUCAAGCAAGUGGGAAUGCUCGUGUGUGAGAGGAUUUUUUUCCUCUCUAUUCCAGGCUUCCUUUAUUGAAUGUAUCUGCUGUACUGGAAAUUACUCUGGGAAAUUGUUAUGUAAAUAACCAUGUGUGCUGCUCACCUUGGCACUUGAACCUCCGACUCCAAGUAGGGUCUGAGAACCACCAGAGCUGGUUAGAAAGGCAGAGUUUCCCGCCCCACUCAGAUCCCAGGCAUGACGCCUGGGUGAUCUGCAGGAGUGUUGCAGGCUGAGACCCCUGAGCUAGACUGGAGUUGCCCUGUGGAAAGCAGCUCCACUCACCAGAAGCCUGUGAACCAGAGGGCCUGCUGUGUGCCUGCUUCUUACUUCAUCUCAGUCCCAGAGGCACGGUCAGCCUGGCUUCUAUGCCUCUGUGUGCUGCUUCCCCAGCGGAUGGCUGCCUACCUCUCAAAGGAGCCUUCAGGGGCCCCUACAGUACCAUUUUCAAACACCAGUUAGUCAAUAUUUUAAGCUGGGGGGUCCCAAAUUGGUGGAAAUCUGUCUGGCUGUCUUCCCCUGAUGCGAUAAGAAGCAGGAAAACAAACAAACAGAAACAACAACAACAAAAAAAACAGAAAUGUAAUUUUAUUUCUAUAGAUGACAAACAUUGUCAGAAAUGGUUCUUUUCUUCUUUGUUUUGGAUUCAAUAAAGAGUGGGGGAAUAUCGGAAAUGAAGGCCCUGAGAGAUGAGCCAAAUCAUCCAAAUGUAUAUGAGCAAGGUAUGGGUGAGUCUGUCACUUCAGGGGCCUGUGGGAACUGAGCUGGAUGAAUGCAGAGCGAAGAGUCAGAAAUCCCACAGCUGCCAGUGAUGAACUGUUAGCUGUCCUUGGACUGUGUCGGCGCAUCUAGCUCCACCAUCAAACAGGGUCACAACUUGCUCCAUUAAUGACCAGUUCACAGUGCGCAUCUGUUUCAGGCAAGGUGUGCUCGUUACCUUAACAGAAGGUUUACCUUGUAAACGUUUCUCACAAGGAAAAACAAACGACCAAAUAACCUCAUAUUUUUGUGAUGAGUAGAUUUUUUUGGAUCAUCAGCCCUGCCCUUUCUCCAUUACCAAGUUCACGGCAAGGCUGACAUUCCAGGGCAAACACCCGCCUUCUUGGCGCCCACGAGCAGCGGACUCCUCAUUCUGCUUUAGUUUACUGCUUCCGCAUUAACUCGUCCACUGGCUCCCUUAUUCAUUUGUUCAACAGACAAUUAUUAUCUACUGUGUUGGCAACAGUGCUGGGCACUGGGUCUUCCUGUUCUUAGCUAUGUAGAAUUCAGAGAAGAACACAGUGCAUAGAUUGCCUAGGAGUGGAGAAAAGCUUGAUGUGGCAACUUCCAGAUCCUAUCAUAGGAGAUGGAGCCGCAUGUCCCUCCAAG